GCCUGCACGGCUUCCUGCUUAGACACCAGGGCCAAUGCAGGCACAGGACUUGGCAGAUGCACACGUUUCCCUUAGUCGGACACCUCCCGCCCAAUUGGCCAAUCCAUCCCCUUUGCCUCCACAUCUCAUUUCGGGCUCCUGCUUUCUCAGAAACCAUCAGCACCACAGGAGCCAGCGGCACAAAGGGCGCUGAAAUCACCCCCAAGGGAAGACCCACCACAGCACAAGGCACCAACUCCAAUGGGGCCAGUCAAGGUGAGUGGAGGAACAAAGACCUGCUGGCUCCUGCACUUCUUCCAGGGGAUGCUCCAAUCCUUGACAGAGUCCAGUGGCCUAGCAGAGCUGCUGGCUGCCCACUUUCUACAAUUCUCACCAAACUUUCUUCCUCAUCGCAAUUCCUUGCUGCCAACAGGUGCGACCACCCGCCAAGGAGCAGACAGCCUCCUCAACGGGAGCACUCAAGGACAAGUCACAUCCACAGGAGCCAGUGGGACAGGCAGAGCUGAAACCAGCACAAAGGGGAGAUCGCCAGCUGUGAGCAGUAGCUCCAGUGGAGCCAGCCAAGGUCAGUUGCCUUGGGGGACUCUUCUACCACCUGCAUGACCCUCCUGCACACUCCACUUCUUGCUCAUGGCUGGCCCACUGAGAGACACUCCCAAUUGCCACUGGCUUCCAACUUCUCCGGCCAUGGGCCAUUCAUUCUCGCCUCUCUUUCUUCCUAGCAGGUGCUACUCCCCAAGCAACAGGCAGCACCAUCAGCCGAAGCAGCGAAGGUAACAGGCACCAUUCUCCUUUGCCCUGCCACCCUGCCCCAUGCCAAGGGCACACUCACUGCCCUAGCUUUCCACCAGUCCCAAAAUGAAAAAAGAGCAACCAACCAACAAACAAGGAGCACACGGGGAACUCAAAGCUUGACAACACAGCCUCCAUAGGGGUCCAGGCCCCCCAUUAUGGCCAUCGGGCCUCUGCCACUAAGGGAGCCCCUUGCCUU
rnacentral:lncRNA from 1 species